CCUACGGGGGGCUGCAGUAAGGAAUAUUGGUCAAUGGAGGGAACUCUGAACCAGCCAUCCCGCGUGAAGGAUGAAGGGGCUCUGCCUUGUAAACUUCUUUUGCAUGGGACGAAAAAACUUAAUUUAUUAAGGACUGACGGUACCAUGAGAAUAAGCACCGGCUAACUCCGUGCCAGCAGCCGCGGUAAUACGGAGGGUGCGAGCGUUAUCCGGAAUCACUGGGUUUAAAGGGUGCGUAGGCGGUUUGAUAAGUCAGUGGUGAAAGGCCGUCGCUUAACGAUGGGACUGCCAUUGAUACUGUUAGACUUGAAUCAGGAUGAGGUUGGCGGAAUGUGGCAUGUAGCGGUGAAAUGCUUAGAUAUGCCAUGGAAUACCGAUUGCGAAGGCAGCUGACUGGACCUGAAUUGACGCUGAGGCACGAAAGCGUGGGGAGCGAACAGGAUUAGAUACCCGUGUAGUC
rnacentral:rRNA from 1 species